rnacentral:rRNA from 1 species
AAUCAACGCUGGCGGCGUGCCUAACACAUGCAAGUCGAGCGAGAAAGUGGUAGCAAUACCAUGAGUAAAGCGGCGCACGGGUGAGUAACACGUGACUAACCUACCCUCGAGUGGGGAAUAACUUCGGGAAACCGAGGCUAAUACCGCAUAAUACCCACGGGUCAAAAGAGCAAUCUGCUUGAGGAGGGGGUCGCGGCCGAUUAGUUAGUUGGCAGGGUAAUGGCCUACCAAGACGANGAUCGGUAUCCGGCCUGAGAGGGCGCACGGACACACUGGAACUGAAACACGGUCCAGACUCCUACGGGAGGCAGCAGUGGGGAAUUUUGCGCAAUGGGGGAAACCCUGACGCAGCAACGCCGCGUGGAGGAUGAAGUCCUUCGGUACGUAA